rnacentral:lncRNA from 1 species
CAUGGCAAAGAAAAAUAACAUGAAGAAAAGAUGGCAAGAAUUUGGAAGGAAGGAUCCUCCUUAACGCUGCUGUUAUUUUAUAUGUCCUUGAGAGACUUCAGUGGACUAAUUAACCAACUGGAAGAUAUCUAUGUCCCUCAUGGAAGACAGAGCAUGUGUGGAGUGACCAGAUCCCAAAAUAGGAGACAGACACAUCCUCUACCGCUGCUUCUCAGCAUCCUGACGGGACCGUGAUUCAGCCAUGAUUCAGAAGGAAAUGUGUCACAUGGUGAGUCAUCAGCAUCGCUACCUCCAGCACCUCUGGUCUCCCAGCUGAGAGCUGGCAGUCACCUCUAAGAAAGUGAAAGCAGCAGCUAUCAUCACUAUGAGGCAAAAGUAAAGUGGAGACAGUUCAGCUCCCGCUCCGUAGUGUGACCUCUAAAGCCUUUGCACUCUUCAUUUCUGUUUGUUUGUAAGAACAGGCAGCUGCUUAAGGUACAGUGUCUGUUGUCAAGAAAUGGAAAGCUAGAAUAGUAUUUAUCUUACAUCAGUGCCAUUAUCAUGAUAACAAUCAAUUGUGUUUAGGAACACCAUGUUAUUUCAGACUGCAUAUCUAUGAUCUACGACAGGAGGAAAAUUGGAAAAUCACGUGUCACUUUCUUCUUGAUUCUUAACAUAUUAAACUAUAAAAAUACUACUACAGCAAAGAAGCAGUUUGCUUACAAAGACAACUGGAAGUGAAGAAGGUGAGUCCAUCAAAAGAAACAGCACCUGAAAAAAAAAAUCACAUCUUUUGGGGUAGAUCUAAUGCAGCAAGAGAUCCCACAUUUUGUUUUGGUUUCCCAAAUAAGUAUUUCUGAUUUGCAUAAAGGUUUUGAGUUUUAAUGAGGGGAAGAUUUCUCUCUCUGUGUGGGUCUGGGACAACAGGUGGGUUGUUCUGUAUUACUGUUGUCUUCAUGGGGCCUGGAAAAGGAAUGGGAGUUGCUGGGCAGUCUAGGGAGGGAGAGAUGUGUGGCUGUAGCGCGACCUUUGUCAUACUCCUCUUGAUUUAGAAUAGAAAAAGAAGAAGAAAAAUGGAGGAAAGAGGAACAUGAACUUUUACUCCUGCAAGGGCCAUUCCAGUCAGAAAAGAGAUCAUCUACAAAACCCACUUCCUUCUUGACUUCCCUUACAAUUGAAGGUGUACCAUGCUUGGUGCUCUCCAAGGAAUGCCUUGGCAUGCUCUGGGGCAUCAUGUCCCUGCAAUGCACACCAAGUGUGCUUGCUCCGUGGCUCUGCUGGAGAAGAAAAUUCCAUUUGGUAAAUGCAGGCUGUGCAGAGCUGGUUGGCCUCGGAGCCGGGGAAAGGC